UACGAAGGGGGCUAGCGUUGCUCGGAAUUACUGGGCGUAAAGGGCGCGUAGGCGGGUCGCUAAGCUGGGGGUGAAAGCCCAGGGCUCAACCCUGGAAUUGCCUUCAAUACUGGCGACCUUGAGUAUGGCAGAGGUGUGUGGAACUCCGGGUGUAGAGGUGAAAUUCGUAGAUAUUCGGAAGAACACCAGUGGCGAAGGCGACACACUGGGCCAUUACUGACGCUGAGGCGCGAAAGCGUGGGGAGCAAACAGG
rnacentral:rRNA from 1 species